GUGAGGAAUAUUGGUCAAUGGGCGGAAGCCUGAACCAGCCAUGCCGCGUGUAGGAAGACGGUCCUCUGGAUUGUAAACUGCUUUUGAAUGGGAAGAACACUACCCUUGCGAGGGUAUUUGACGGUACUAUUAGAAUAAGCACCGGCUAACUACGUGCCAGCAGCCGCGGUAAUACGUAGGGUGCGAGCGUUAAUCGGAAUUACUGGGCGUAAAGCGUGCGCAGGCGGCUAUGCAAGACAGAUGUGAAAUCCCCGGGCUCAACCUGGGAACUGCAUUUGGGACUGCAUGGCUAGAGUGCGUCAGAGGGAGGUGGGAUUCCGCGUGUAGCAGUGAAAUGCGUAGAGAUGCGGAGGAACACCGAUGGCGAAGGCAGCCUCCUGGGAUGACACUGACGCUCAUGCACGAAAGCGUGGGGAGCAAACAGGAUUAGAUACCCCGGUAGUCC
rnacentral:rRNA from 1 species